CCCCUCUCAGGAUCAAAUCUGGACAGUUUCCAGUACUCUACCAGUCUCAGCUAUAGGAGGGAAAGUCAGGCAGAGCCAUGCCCAUUCCAUUCCUAGGCUGGGCGGUGGCUAGCAAGUGGAAGGCAAUCUGCUACAAGU